GGGGUUAUAGCUCAGCUGGGAGAGCGCCUGCCUUGCACGCAGAUCCCGCAUAACUCCACCA
rnacentral:tRNA from 1 species